rnacentral:lncRNA from 1 species
AUGGGGCUGGCAGCUGCCCCCUGCCCCGCACCCAGAAGCCUCUGGAUGCAGCUGAGCCGUUUCCCCGGCGGGGCUGAGCUGCGUGGGAGCCUGCAGUGUAUAACGGGCUGGGGCUCGCUGCCAGACUACACGUCCCGGCGUGCUCCGCUGCCUGCGUGCUGGGUGCUGGGUGCUGCAGAGGCCUCGCAGCCAGGGUGCAGGGAGCAGGUUUUUUUUCCUUUGGCCUGGGUCAGGCAGGCUCUAGCAAAGGAGGAUUGUGCAAGGAUGGGGACAAGGGGGAGAGGCCAUGUUUUGGCUUUGCCCUCAGACACAGAUUUGCCAGAGCUGUUGCAGCCUGUGGGAGAAGGUGAGAAGACAGGCUGGACUACAUGUCCGGGAGUGUUUGCCACAUACUUUGUCCCUGUGGCUCCAACCACCACGUGUCCUCAGGCCUCAGCAAAGGGAAAUGGGAGGUUUGGGAACUGCCCUGAGAUGAACCAUGCUGCUCCACGUUUUGUGUCUGGAGCAGCCUUCUUUUGGGUCCUCCCAGAGCCACCAGCACAUGGGGACAGCCAGAGCCAGAGCCAUGCUUACUCUUUGUGUCAGAUGGUCCUACAGAUGUGGUCCUCUCCUGACCAGGCAUCUGCUCCGCUGAUGUCUCCAAGCUCUUCCCUCCCUUGGCACGAUGCCCUGGAGUAUGCGGGGUCGCCCCUGUGCGCGCCCCAGCUCCUCUCCCAGCCCUCUGAUCUGCACGGUUUGCACGUUCCAGCCAGAUGCCAUCACUGUGCUGCCAUCGCCACCCCAUCCUGGAUCCCCUCUCCCUCUUUUUUCACCCCCUCCACCCUAGAAACACUGGUGCUAGGCCGGCAACUGUUUUCCACCCUCCUGCCGCACUCGCCUGGUGGGUGGCAUCUACUCACCCUUGGGUGGGGGGAGGAGUGGGGCAGGGUGAGGCAGGAGCAGGAGAUCAGGGCGAGGGAUAAAGCUGGGCCUAUUUUUAUACUGCAAAGUAAUUACCAGAGCUUUCCAAUCCUUAAUCUGCCGAGCACCCCAGUGUGA